GUGAUAAAACAUAUAUAAUAGUUAUCAUUUUAACCAGCUGUAAAUGUACAAAUUCAGUGGCAUUAAAUACAUUCAUAAUGUUGUGCAACCAUCACCACCAUCUGCACCCAAAACUAUUUCAUCAUCCCCAACAUAAACUAUGUACUCACUAAACAAUAACUCCUCCUCUAUCCCUUAGCCCCUGGCAAUCUCGCUUUUACUUUGUCUCUGUGUAUUU
rnacentral:lncRNA from 1 species